AUUGAACGCUGGCGGCAGGCCUAACACAUGCAGGUCGAGCGGCAGCGGGAAAGUAGCUUGCUACUUUUGCCGGCGAGCGGCGGACGGGUGAGUAAUGCCUGGGGAUCUGCCCAGUCGCGGGGGAUAACUACUGGAAACGGUAGCUAAUACCGCAUACGCCCUACGGGGGAAAGCAGGGGACUCCCGGGCCUUGCGCGUCUGGAUGACCCCAGGUGGGAUUAGGUAGUUGGUGAGGUAAUGGAUCACCAAGGCGACGAUCCCUAGCUGGUCUAGAGGAUGAUCAGCCACACUGGAACUGAGACACGGUCCAGACUCCUACGGGAGGCAGCAGUGGGGAAUAUUGCACAAUGGGGGAAACCCUGAUGCAGCCAUGCCGCGUGUGUGAAGAAGGCCUUCGGGUUGUAAAGCACUUUCAGCGAGGAGGAAAGGUUGGUAGCUAAUAACUGCCAGCUGUGACGUUACUCGCAGAAGAAGCACCGGCUAACUCCGUGCCAGCCGCCGCAGUAA
rnacentral:rRNA from 1 species